rnacentral:rRNA from 1 species
UGCCAGCAGCCGCGGUAAUACGGAGGAGGCAAGCGUUGUUCGGAAUUAUUGGGCUUAAAGCGCGUGUAGGCGGCUUGGUAAGUACUUUGUGAAAUACCCCGGCUCAACCGGGGACUUGCUUGGUAUACUGCUGAGCUUGAGGCAGGUAGAGGUGCUCGGAACUCUAGGUGGAGCGGUGAAAUGCAUUGAUAUCUAGAGGAAUGCCGGUGGCGAAAGCGGGGCACUGGGCCUGACCUGACGCUGAGACGCGAAAGCAUGGGUAGCGAACGGGAUUAGAUA